GAGAAUGCCUUAUGCUUUACAUGCGUAUGUUUGAAUUUUUCAAUGGCGUAAUGCUCCAUGAAAAUGGAAACGCUACGCAAUUCGGGAGGAUGCAAUGCAAUAUGAUUCUACAUGCAGGGAUGUGAAAUGCUAGGUUAGAGAGAAUGCCAAGCCAAGGCAAGGAAAUCUGUUGGGGAAAUGAUCACAAUCUUCUAGACCCUGGCAAGGCUGUUGGAGAUGCA
rnacentral:lncRNA from 1 species